ACAUGAUCACCCACUAACUGCAUAUUUUAUUUAUUAUUUAGAAAGCAUUUGACACCCUUCUACCUCAAAGGCUUAGGAGGAUGCUGACAGAUGUCGGGAUUCAACAGCACAUCACUGAACGCACCACAGACCUCUACUGUCAGUAUCAAAUCACAGUGUGAAGAACAACAGGUGCGAAUGAAUGGUUUCCAUUGGGCUGGGCACAAAAAAAAUGCCAUUUCAACAGGAAUAUUGAAUUUAUUUUGAAACUGCCGUGAAAGGAUUUUGACACAUGGAAGGAGCAGAAGUUUCCAUUGCUGGGACUGUCCUAACUGAUCUUUGAUACACUAACAGCAUGAUGCCCUGUACCACAGUGACUGAUGCAAUACAGUCAAUUCUGGAGGAGAGAAGAGGCAACUAAUCAGGGACAUGAACUGCCCUGAAUAUGUUGAAAAGAACAAGCACAUACACUGACAUAAGUCAUAAAGAUAAAAUGCUUUUUAGUAGUAGAAAUACAGUUAGAGAAAAAGGGACUCUGUCAAAAACUAGCUAACAAUCUUACUUAAAUUUUGUAUGGAUGGAAAAAAAUUCAGGAAGGCACUUACAGAAGCACUAAGGGUGGAAUAACAAAGGAAAGGCUAGCCAACAUGAAGAUCAGAUAGAUGAUGGAUGGACCGGUGAGGCCACAAAGAUACUAGUCUGACUAGAGAAGCACCUGGAAACUGCUACGACAUCACCCAGAGUUUUGGAUACAACACCACGAGCUGUGCAUCGAUACCCUGGGUGGGGAGCCUGCUAGAACAGUGCCAAGUUCUAGCCUGGAAAUACUGACCUUGGCUCAUUUUAAUGCUUUCCAAAUCCUGUAUCUGAUGAGGAUGCAUCUCACCUGCUUGUGCCAACCAGCCAAAAUCCAACAGAGAUUUCCACAGCCUUUGCCCACAAGCCUGAAAUUGCUGCAGUGGAAUGAGCGUUGCUGAACGAGAGGUCUCCCCAUUGCUAAAACGCUAUCCUUAAUGCAUCCCCUCUCAAAUAAAUCACUCUGGAUGAUUUCCACGGAUGUCCUACCUAAAGGGACAGUGACCCAAGGAGAAAGAAGCCUGAGAGGUGGGGAGAUUAAAAACUUUCUGGGAUAAAUAAAAAUAAUUUUUUUUUAUUUUAUUUUUCUCAGAGCAUCCCAUUCCUUUUUUCAAGCCACCUAGGUAGAUUCUUGAAUCCACCUCCUGGAAAGGAGGCAUAAACCUGCUGCCUGAGCUGUCUUAAGAGCUUGAUCAAGCAGUGAGACCAUUAGGUUUGGAAAUCUCCCACACAUUCCCACGGGAAUCCCUCCGUUGAUUGUUGUGCAGCCAAAGACCUCUAGACCUGGUCAAGACUAGACAUACUUAACUUGGUGACCCACGGGCUGAAGAUGUUAAGGGAAGGUAUUGAAGUGACUGGAAAUAAUACAGCAACAGGUGCUGCACCAGAAAACAUUGUCUACUGAAGGAGUAAAACCAGACCAGGCAGCCCUACCACACCAGGGGUAUUUUGUCAUGUAACACCAAAGCCAUUACACUGCUGUGUUUCAAGGGCUUAUAAGGAAAAUCAAGACAUCCCAUCAUCUUUGGUUCCGUGGAACAAUGGAACAACACCUGAAAUAGAGAGCAAUGUCAUAGGUGGGGGACUUGCUAAGUUUGUUUCUGUGGUAGUCAGUGAAUCUUCUGUCAUUCUCCAGUAUAUCUCUAGUAUCCAUUCAACCUCUGAUAGUAUGAGAGACUCUUUAUUCACUGAGGAGAGGUGUUGAUUAAUAAAAUUAUGCAAGCAGUUGUCUGAAUUUUCUUCUUACAAUUCAAAUACUCCAAUGUAAUUAUUCUGUGAAAAAUACACAUGUUUUCACUGGCACUGAUCACUGCUGUGGUUGAUGUUCUCUGGUAAAGUCCAGUGUUUCUAGGAAUAUACUUGGAUCUAAAGUAAUAGCUUUUUUAAUGAUCAGUGAAGACUUGGAAGCUCAUAGUCCUAAUACCAAGGUUAUUUUGAAGAUGAACCUAAAAUAACUUAAGCUGUAAUCAUGUUAACUCUUCUAGUAUUUUUUAUGUCUCACAUUGAUUUGGAAUUGGCCCCCCAAAGUGCUAAGCCAGCCAGAAACAUGGAGUUGAGCUAACCAAAGUGGUGCUACCUUUGGCUAGUGUUUGGCAGACCUGGAGAGAGACGGUGAGGGUCAGUUGACUGAAGAGUCGUGUAGUCCUAGAGGAGGUGCUGAGGGUCCGGCCAGACCAGAAGGUGCAAGCACCUCCUACAGUCCCUUCUGCCUGCCCUGGGAUGCCUGGACUAUCUGUUGGUCUCUCAGUUAGCACUGGGCUCCUACAUUUAGGGAACCGGCUGGUGCCCUGAGGGCUCAGCAAGAUGUGUGGUCUGACCUUUGAAUGUGUGUAUCUGCUUAAAAGAAAAGAGCAGUGGGAGAUGGCCAAAAUCUUCAUUUGACCGCAGUUCUGCUUUGGUUAAUCAGAGAAAAUGAGCAGAAAGAAAAAAUGUAGUAAGUGGAAUACAUGCAGUGCUUACUCUCUAUAUGCUGCUUUGUUUUUAAAAGAGAGAAACCAAGUUCUCAGAGGUUUCCAUUUUGCUGUUCUUAUGAAUGAUGAUGCCAUUCUGAAAUUUUUCAAUGCCAGAGAGAGGAAUGUGUCUAAAGUAUUUUUGUUAGGGUUCAGUCCCAGUAGAAAGAAAAUAAAAUACAAAGGUUUUGGAUAAUAUUUGAAUGCUACACGUUUUAAAGAGAAACUUGCUUUCUUCUUGCUGGUGGGGUUUCUUAUGUUCAUCUCUUUAAUGUAAUGUCAAUAACUGAACCUCUUUUUAUUUUUAAUCUCCACAGUAUGAUUUUCUGUAAGUAUUCUGUUGAGUCUAUGAGAUUAAAAAACAAAUAAAAUACCUUAUCAGAGUAGGUCUAGGAAUAUAGCUAGCCAAAAAUAGGGAAUUUCCACUCCAUAAGAAAGUCUGAUACUUCAAAAUUUGGUUUUGUUUAUGAAAAUACCCUGUAUUGCUCCAAAUACUGUAAUUGCUCCAAAAUUGCACUGUAAUGCUCCAAAAUUGAUGUUUGUUUCUUUUGGAUUAAAUAUUACUCUAUAUUUUUCUGAGUUUUUCAAAUGCUCCUGCCCUGUUCACUUCAAUUGGGUGGGCUAUUCAUGGAGCUGUACUUCUCUGGGCAUCUUGUGAAAUGCGACCCAAUGGUUGGGAGUCCCCUCCGCAGAGGGAUGCGGGAGCUACAAGCCACUGAUCCAUACCUCCUGCAAAACACAACAGUAACUUGAAUAGAGGUAUAGAUGCAUACUGGAUAUGAGACACAAUGUUUGUUUGCGAAAAGAACCCUAUAUAUUUUGACUGGAACUGGCUUGAGCCUCGGAGAACUCCUUUUCAGUGGAAAACUGGAAAUGACAACAGGACUGAAGUAAUUAGGCUAAUUCCAGUUCUGCAAAAAAAGAUGUUUUCAAGAAGAAUGGUAUGUAUAGCAAAGUGUCUGACCAGCUCUUCUUUGAUUGACUUCGUGACUUUUCAAAAGAAUGGAAUGUUUCCCCCCAAAACCAUUUUAUUCUAUAAAUAAUCCAUGGUCCUGAGAGGUGAGAAGCAGCAGAGGGAAAAAAAAUACAAACCAAGGAUAGAGCUGGAGACCCAAAUCUUACAGUAAGUUUAUGCUCAGUGCAGAGCCGUGCAGAAAACACCAAAUAUAGCGGGCACAGUAUGAAUCUCUUCCUUUAAAGUUUAAUCCAAACGCCACAAGAAUCUCUAUUGGAUUUUGGCUCAGGCAAAACUGACAUUAUAACUUUAAAUAAGGGUAAGUCACUUGAGUGUGUAUAUCUAUCUAUCUAUAUACCUCCAAAUACACUGAAUAAAAUUUAGGAGUUGGAAAGAGAGAGAGACUGCAAACGUGCAUAUGAAGAGUUUGCCUACUAUCAGGUGGAAUUCAAAGUUAUAAUUGUUUGACUUUGGAAAUGUGAUCUUUCUCUUUAAGUUCAUUCUUAGAUUUUAAAGCAUAAUUUGUUUUGAUUGAAUUUCUAAUGUUAAUUAGUGAGGCUUGCACAAUUAAAGACAUCAAGAACAUAUAAUUACGUUCCUUAUAAUUAUACCAUAAUUGUUUUAGUAUGUUAAAUGAUCUAAUAGAUUUUUUUCCUGUUUCAACAGCAGCAUUACAACCAUCUCUGUUUUAUGAAAUAACUGGCAAACAUUCAGUAGGUACUUUCAAGCAUUUCAAGUAAAGUUGUGAUGGGUAUUCAUCUACUAAUGAAAUAUUCAUGCAUUAUAUUUUUCUCUAUUACAAGUGACUUUCACUGAAGCGCCUAAUGCUUGGUUUGCUUAGACAGAUAUAACAUUCAAUCAAACUAAUGGAAACUGUGGAGUACUGUUAUACUGGAUAUUAUUAAAUCAAAUGCUCUUGAUAAAUAUUGAGUCUCUGAUGUUAAAAAGCAUUUCUAGCAUGAUGCAUGAAUAGUAAAACAAUACUCUGGCCCCUUGUUAAUAAUGUUAAUAUUACAGUUGUCAUCAUUUGACAACUAAUAUGAUUUCCCAUGUGCAUAAAUGCUUUAGUCUUAGAGUAUUAAAAAAUACUCUCCUUAUGCUUUUUAAGAUUUUCCAUAUUGUGUAUGCAUUUGCUCCCAAUGUAGAACAAUCAGACAAGUUUGUGCUAGCAGCAAAUUAUGUACACUUUGUCUGCUUAAAAUUUAAUAUUUCCUUCAAGUAGCAUAACUUUCACCCAUGUCAAUAUGAAGAGAUCAGUUUUGGUAAUUUCAUAGGCAGGAAGCUAAUGAUCCUCUUACAAAGCAAUUGCUAAAGGUCUUUGGAGAAUUGUCUGGGUGUAUUGGUGCUGUUUCUCCUACUUGUUCUCUGGAUGCUAAAUUUCAUUAAAUGAAACUAAAAUAGA